UACGUAGGUGGCAAGCGUUGUCCGGAAUUACUGGGCGUAAAGAGCGCGUAGGCGGCUAUUUAAGUCAGGUGUGAAAACUUGGGGCUCAACCUCAAGACUGCACUUGAAACUGGAUAGCUUGAGGGCAAGAGAGGAAAGUGGAAUUCCCAGUGUAGCAGUGAAAUGCGUAGAUAUUGGGAGGAACACCAGUGGCGAAGGCGACUUUCUGGCUUGUACCUGACGCUGAGGCGCGAAAGCGUGGGGAGCGAAC
rnacentral:rRNA from 1 species